rnacentral:rRNA from 1 species
GAUGAACGCUGGCGGCGUGCCUAAUACAUGCAAGUCGAGCGAACAGAUAAGGAGCUUGCUCCUUUGACGUUAGCGGCGGACGGGUGAGUAACACGUGGGUAACCUACCUAUAAGACUGGGAUAACUUCGGGAAACCGGAGCCAAUACCGGAUAACAUUUGGAACCGCAUGGUUCUAAAGUGAAAGAUGGUUUUGCUAUCACUUAUAGAUGGACCCGCGCCGUAUUAGCUAGUUGGUAAGGUAACGGCUUACCAAGGCGACGAUACGUAGCCGACCUGAGAGGGUGAUCGGCCACACUGGAACUGAGACACGGUCCAGACUCCUACGGGAGGCAGCAGUAGGGAAUCUUCCGCAAUGGGCGAAAGCCUGACGGAGCAACGCCGCGUGAGUGAUGAAGGGUUUCGGCUCGUAAAACUCUGUUAUUAGGGAAGAACAAAUGUGUAAGUAACUGUGCACGUCUUGACGGUACCUAAUCAGAAAGCCACGGCUAACUACGUG